AGCUUGCUUUUCCUGAUCAGUGGCGAACGGGUGAGUAACACGUGAGUAACCUGCCCCAGACUCUGGGAUAACCUCGGGAAACCGGGGCUAAUACCGGAUAUGAGACCGGACUGCAUGGUCUGGUUUGGAAAGUUUUUCGGUCUGGGAUGGACUCGCGGCCUAUCAGCUUGUUGGUGAGGUAAUGGCUCACCAAGGCGACGACGGGUAGCCGGCCUGAGAGGGCGACCGGCCACACUGGAACUGAGACACGGUCCAGACUCCUACGGGAGGCAGCAGUGGGGAAUAUUGCACAAUGGGCGAAAGCCUGAUGCAGCGACGCCGCGUGGGGGAUGAAGGCCUUCGGGUUGUAAACCCCUUUCAGCAGGGAAGAAGCGAAAGUGACGGUACCUGCAGAAGAAGCGCCGGCUAACUACGUGCCAGCAGCCGCGGUAAUACGUAGGGCGCAAGCGUUGUCCGGAAUUAUUGGGCGUAAAGAGCUCGUAGGCGGUCUGUCGCGUCUGCUGUGAAAUCCCGAGGCUCAACCUCGGGCCUGCAGUGGGUACGGGCAGACUAGAGUGUGGUAGGGGAGACUGGAAUUCCUGGUGUAGCGGUGGAAUGCGCAGAUAUCAGGAGGAACACCGAUGGCGAAGGCAGGUCUCUGGGCCACAACUGACGCUGAGGAGCGAAAGCGUGGGGAGCGAACAGGAUUAGAUACCC
rnacentral:rRNA from 2 species